GAAGUGCUAGUCUACAGCUUUUGCUGCAACCACCCUUGAUCUGGAUGUCAAGUCUGUGGGCUGACUUCCUAGCUUGACUUGGGACCUGCUUUGUCUCUGUGGAUCUGCAGCUGGUGAUGCUCCUGGGAGAGAUGGGCUAGCAGAAUAAGGAGUGAGUAGCACAGGAGAAAAGCUUGCCUCACUGGACCAGUAGUUAUCUUGGAUCAGGCCUUGGUACCAAGUGAUACUUUACAGUUCCAGCAUGAACUGCAGAGCAGUUCCUCCAGCACAUCGGUUGUUCCUGCCCUGCAGACUCGAUGGCUGAUCCCUCACCGCACGCACCCUCCAGCCUGCCCACGUGUACUAACAAGGCUGGAAAGGGAGUUUUUUGGUGCCGUUGCUGUGAGCGGGACCUCACACUGGGACACCUGCGUCACUGCCACAGGCAAGCGAUGGCAAGAUUAUCUCCCUGUAAGAAGAGGGUAGCUGGGUGAAAAGGCCUCUGGAAGGAGAAGGGAUGCUCUUUCCCUUAGGGAGCAACUGAAUCUGCCCAAAGGAGAGAGGCGUCUGGAUUACAGGGUGGAUCAGAGGGAGUGGCAGCAAGGCUUUUGGCAAGGCAGCAAUCUGCAGCACAGCGAGGAAGUGAGACACUGCUGAGAGAAGCAGCAAGCACACUCCAAGCUCUGUGCUGAUGUCAGAGAAAACCUCUCAGAGAGCUGAAGGGACUCUGCAGGUAGCUGCAACCCACCAAAAAAAAUCAAAAAAAAUCCAAAAUAUAGCCUGAGAGUGAUGGCCUGCCUUUCCAGGAUACGAUGGGCAGGGAGAGGUUUGAUUAUAAGCCUUUUACAACUACUCCUCUGUCUUGCUUAUUGUCUUACCUGCUUACUUGGCAUCUCAUGAUCUAAACAGUC